UUUGUGGAGAGUUUGAUCCUGGCUCAGGACGAACGCUGGCGGCGUGCUUAACACAUGCAAGUCGAACGGAAAGGCCUGCAGCUUGCUGCGGGUACUCGAGUGGCGAACGGGUGAGUAACACGUGGGUGAUCUGCCUUGCACUUCGGGAUAAGCUUGGGAAACUGGGUCUAAUACCGGAUAGGACAGCUGUUUAGUGUCAGUUGUGGAAAGUUUUUUCGGUGCAAGAUGAGCUCGCGGCCUAUCAGCUUGUUGGUGGGGUAAUGGCCUACC
rnacentral:rRNA from 1 species